rnacentral:rRNA from 1 species
UACGUAGGGUGCAAGCGUUGUCCGGAAUUAUUGGGCGUAAAGAGCUCGUAGGCGGUCUGUCGCGUCGGCUGUGAAAUCCCGAGGCUCAACCUCGGGUCUGCAGUCGAUACGGGCAAACUGGAGUGUUGCAGGGGAGACUGGAAUUCCUGGUGUAGCGGUGAAAUGCGCAGAUAUCAGGAGGAACACCGGUGGCGAAGGCGGAUCUCUGGGCCGUAACUGACGCUGAGGAGCGGAAGCAUGGGGAGCGAACAGG